AUACGGAGGGUGCAAGCGUUAAUCGGAAUUACUGGGCGUAAAGAGUACGUAGGUGGUUUAUUAAGUCAGAUGUGAAAGCCCCGGGCUUAACCUGGGAACUGCAUUUGAUACUGGCAAACUAGAGUAUGGUAGAGGCGGGUAGAAUUCCUAGUGUAGCGGUGAAAUGCGUAGAUAUUAGGAGGAAUACCAGUGGCGAAGGCGGCCCGCUGGACCAAUACUGACACUGAGGUACGAAAGCGUGGGUAGCGAACAGGAUUAGAUACCCUAGUAGUCC
rnacentral:rRNA from 1 species